AAUAGAUACCCGGGUAGUCCACGCCGUAAACGAUGAGUGCUAAGUGUUGGGGGGUUUCCGCCCCUCAGUGCUGCAGCUAACGCAUUAAGCACUCCGCCUGGGGAGUACGGUCGCAAGACUGAAACUCAAAGGAAUUGACGGGGGCCCGCACAAGCGGUGGAGCAUGUGGUUUAAUUCGAAGCAACGCGAAGAACCUUACCAGGUCUUGACAUCCCGGUGACCACUAUGGAGACAUAGUUUCCCCUUCGGGGGCAACGGUGACAGGUGGUGCAUGGUUGUCGUCAGCUCGUGUCGUGAGAUGUUGGGUUAAGUCCCGCAACGAGCGCAACCCUUAUUCUUAGUUGCCAUCAUUCAGUUGGGCACUCUGAGGAGACUGCCGGUGAUAAACCGGAGGAAGGUGGGGAUGACGUCAAAUCAUCAUGCCCCUUAUGACCUAGGCUACACACGUGCUACAAUGGACGGUACAAACGGUUGCCAACCCGCGAGGGGGAGCUAAUCCGAUAAAACCGUUCUCAGUUCGGAUUGUAGGCUGCAACUCGCCUAC
rnacentral:rRNA from 1 species